GACGAACGCUGGCGGUGUGCCUAACACAUGCAAGUCGAACGGUAAGGCCCUUUCGGGGGUACACGAGUGGCGAACGGGUGAGUAACACGUGAGUAACCUGCCCUCAUCUCUGGGAUAACAGUCGGAAACGGUUGCUAAUACUGGAUAUGAGCUUGCAAGGCAUCUUGUGGGUUGGAAAGAUUUUUUUGGUUGGGGAUGGACUCGCGGCCUAUCAGCUUGUUGGUGAGGUAGUGGCUCACCAAGGCUUCGACGGGUAGCCGGCCUGAGAGGGCGACCGGCCACAUUGGGACUGAGAUACGGCCCAAACUCCUACGGGAGGCAGCAGGGGGGAAUAUUGCACAAUGGACGGAAGUCUGAUGCAGCAACGCCGCGGGCGGGAGGACGGCCUUCGGGUUGGAAACCGCUUUCAAUUGUGACGAAGCUUUUUGUGACGGUAGCAGUAGAAGAAGCACCGGCUAACUACGUG
rnacentral:rRNA from 1 species